GCCACAGCAGAUGUCAAUCGAUGGUCAAUUAUGAAUAGUAAUUCUAUUGUUUAAGGCCAUAUACUCUGGAGUCAUCCUUGAGAUCUGCCUGGGAUAAAACUCACACAUUCCCCUGGCAUUGGAACCUCACUGUUGUCUCUGAAAGAGACAACAGCAACUUGCCAGUUAACCCUUCCUAAUGACUUGCAGUAGCUGAGAACUUGGAUGCAUAAGAUUCCAUUGAGAGAAAGUGUCCUGCAUUUUGAGCUGGGGGCAAUAAGAUCAUAAGAAGCAAGCAGGGAAGAGAUAUUUGUCUCUGAGAGCAUAAUUUAUAUUCAAUAAAUUAAGAAGGGCCACCCGGGGAUCCAACACUCAAGUAUGGAGUAGGAAGCUAAAAGAAAUUCUCCAGUCUGGGAAGAAAGGGCUACGUCAAAGCAGAAAACGGGCCAGAAGUCCUGAAUAGCAGAGUGGAUCAGUAGGUGAUUUUCAGGGGCUUUAUUUGGACAGGAAGUGGGGUGAUAUGCUUUGGGACCCCAUCUUUGUUUAAUGGGGAAGGAGUGAGAGAUGGAGUGGGAGACAGAGAUGGAAGAGAGGCCAGAGAGACUCCUGUUGUGCUGAGGAGGCAACAGGCUAUGGUGUAAGUGAUACAUAGGGCGCUCCAACUGCUUUUCCACACCUAGAAGCGAAAUGCUCUUUCCUGAUAUUAGGCCAUGGAAGAAUAAGUUUGACCUGAAUACUAGAGAAGCCUAGAAUGUUUAAGAAGGAAGGGCUUUUAGCGAUGACUGUGACCGAUCCUUCUAUCUUACUGAUAAGGCAACUCAAGCUCCAAGAUAGGGGAGUGAACGUCUGUACCUGAGCUCACCUCCCUUUCCAUAGUGCUCUAUAAGUGCAUACCUCCCACGUUCAUCCUCCCCCAGGCUAGUAGGCAGAUGUUAAAGAAAAGCCUGCCACAUUUCAGAUCACUUUUUUCUUUUUUUUUUAUUGCCUCUCACAUGAGACCUGGAUUUUGAAAAUACCAUCUCCAGCCCUGACAAGUUUGAAAACUUGCAGAAUGAGGAGGAGGGCACAGGAUGAGGAGGCUUCCAGGAGAUUGAUGGAAUAUGCGCUGGAGUCCUUUGAGGUCAGAGACCACAUGACUCACUUCUAAUUCCCCCACAGCACCAAGCAAGCACAGAUCAGAACCUCUGAAGUGUGAUAUGCAUAAAUUAAGGGUAAGUGAAAUGAUUGUACAUGGCGUAUGUGUGAACAUUUUAACGUUAACGUUUAGAUAUGUUAAUGUAUAUUAUAUAAA
rnacentral:lncRNA from 1 species